rnacentral:RNase_P_RNA from 1 species
GACCGUCUGUCGCCGUGUCGGCAGCAAUGCAGGCAAGGAGGAAAGUCCGGGCAACAUAGAGCGCCAUACUUCCUAACGGGAAGUCGCGGGCGACCGCGAAGACAAUGUAACAGAGAAUGACCGCCGGGUCCUGCGGGGUCCGGUAAGGGUGAAAAGGCGGGGUAAGAGCCCACCGGCCGCACGGUGACGUGAGGUGUCCGUACAUCUUAUGGGUUGCAAUGCCAAAUAUACCGGCAGUUAAGGAUGGCUCGUCCGUUGCCGGGGGGUAGGCAGCUUGAGCCGUGUCGUGAGGCACGGAGUAGAUAAAUGACAGACACGUGAUGGCUUAGGCCUGACCGUACAUAACCCGGCUUACAAGCCGACUGU